rnacentral:rRNA from 1 species
UUAGUAUACAGUUUAUAUACCGUUGUUAUAAAAUAUUUUAUAAGAAUAAAAAUAUUUAAGAAUUUUAAUAAAAAAAUAUAUCAGAUCAAGGUGUAACUUAUGUUUAAGAAGAAAUGGGUUACAAUAAAUUUAUUUAUAAUGGAUAUAAAAUUGAAAGUUUUUAUUAAAAUUGGAUUUAAUUGUAAAAU